rnacentral:rRNA from 1 species
UACGUAGGGGGCUAGCGUUGUCCGGAAUCAUUGGGCGUAAAGCGCGUGUAGGCGGCUCGAUAAGUCCGCUCUGAAAGCCCGGGGCUCAACCCCGGGAGGCGGGUGGAUACUGUCGAGCUCGAGUCCGGAAGAGGCAAGUGGAAUUCCCGGUGUAGUGGUGAAAUGCGUAGAUAUCGGGAGGAACACCAGUGGCGAAGGCGACUACCUGGCCUGUUCUUGACGCUGAGGCGCGAAAGCUAGGGGAGCAAACGGG